rnacentral:rRNA from 1 species
UACGAAGGGGGCUAGGCGUUGCUCGGAAUCACUGGGCGUAAAGCGCACGUAGGCGGACUCUUAAGUCGGUGGUGAAAUCCUGGAGCUCAACUCCAGAACUGCCUUCGAUACUGAGAGUCUCGAGUCCGGGAGAGGUGAGUGGAACUGCGAGUGUAGAGGUGAAAUUCGUAGAUAUUCGCAAGAACACCAGUGGCGAAGGCGGCUCACUGGCCCGGUACUGACGCUGAGGUGCGAAAGCGUGGGAGC